UAAUUUCCAAGUUUCAACCAUAAAAUAUUUGAAUUGAUAGUCAUAGUAUAAGGUCCCUGAAAUGAGGUUUCAGAAAAUGAAGAUAGGAGUGCUGAUAUUGCUAUCAUGGGCUGCCACAGUGUCAACAGAUGUAGAAUGCGGCACCGUGACGGGGUUGCUCUCAGUUUGCUCAACAUUUAUCAGCUAUGGUUCACCUGACCCACUUCCAGGUUCCCCAUGCUGUAAUGCAAUGAUAAGCCUGAGGUUGAUCGCAGAAUCCGGUGAUAAUAGGAGGUCCGUUUGUAGAUGCUUCAUGGGCCUUAUUGCUGCUUAUAAUCCAUUAGGCACUGCUGUGGCUACUUUGCCUGGCCUUUGUGGAAUUAAUCUGGGCUUCGUUGUUUAUCCUAAUACAGAUUGUACCUCCUUUCAUUGAGUUUGGUUCCAAGGGAAGAAGUUGGAGGAAAUAUGAAUUAGAGAUUGAAUAAGAAGUAUGUCUUCAAGUACUCUUUUUUAAACAAAUUUGAAAAUAACUAAGUUUCCCCACUCCUUGAAGGGGAAAAUAAAUGGUUGGUAUUGCAGAAGGAUUGCUUAGCAUGAUGACUUUGUGUGUUUGUUUACUGAAUAUAAUAAGCAUAUUUUUAGUAUUUCUCUAAUUAACCUGUGUUUCUUAGCUGAAGAAACAAUGAGGAAGGUAUAUUUAGUAAGCUUGUUUAAUUUGUAAGGAAAAGCCAAGUACAGUUUCAUAUGAAUAAAAUGAUAGAUUUGUUCCUAAAAUCUAAAAAUACAAAACUUGUAUGGAUAAUUAUGCAAUUCUAUUUGGUUCUUGACAUCAGAAUACAGAAUCAAGCAGAACUGAAGAAAUGUUCCCAUUGGCAGUCACUUACAGUAAUGAUGAAUCCUAUAAAACUUGGAUUUGUUAUUUGUCAUUUCCUUUUGCCAAAAAAUCUCACAGGAUCGAGGCAGUGGUAAAAGGAGAAAAACAGCGUAUCCUUUCAAGAAUUGCUUUUAUGCGUUGCAAUCACUUACCAUUUUAUGUCAGCAAAGGCAAAAACUUUUCAAUUUCCUUUUCAAUGUGGUCAUGAUAAUAAUUUUCAUAUCAUCAACAUUCUUCAACUGUGUCUUUCAUUGGCUUCUUGUGGGUAUCCAAGGUUACAUUUGACAGAUGUGGUAUAUUGCAUCUCUGUCAAUCCGAUAUGUAACCAUAUGAGGCAAAUCACCGAUAGGACAAAUGGGGCCACUCACCAUAGACAAAGCAAGAGAAAUUAUCUAACCAUCUGUGAAUGCACAUGGGGAUAAUGAUACAGAUACUCUUUAGUUUUCAAUAGGAAACUUUGUGUGAAUGAUCAAAUAUGUGCUAGUUGAGACAAUUAAAGAAAGGGUUGUAGAAGAAGUUUGUACAGCUGCUCUGCUGAUAAUGGCAUGGUUAGGAAGUAUCAUUGAUUCAACAACUGAAGUUGAGGUGAUAAUGGCUCCACUUUCCACAGUUAGAAAAGCAUGGUUGAAAUUCUUCUCGUACAUACCAGUUGGAAGUAGUUGCUGAUAACUAAACAACGAACUUGUGAUAAUGGAGGAAGCUGGAAGUGGAACACAUUAAUAGUGUUUCCAUGCAAGCAUGCGUGCAACCACAACAGCAAAGCUUACAUCGGUACUCCUAGUCUAUUCAAGCGCCCAGAUGCUGGAUAAGCUCUGUUUCCAAAGUUGGAUUGUUGAGCAAAUCCCCUUUCUGAAAUAGUGUCUGCAUCAUAAAACCCUUGGACAGGCCUUUUGCUUGAACCAUACUUUUCAAAGUCUAGCCUCUGCUUUGGGGCACUUUGCGAUCUAACCUUAGCCCGAGAGGAUUCUGUGUUAGCCAUGUAGUUCGGGUGACCUGAGUAUCCAUUAAAAAAGCCCCAUGAGCACUCACUCCUUGUGGGUGUAAAAGGACCUCUUCUACCACUACUCCCAGGUCUAGAUGAUGGGGAAAACACAUAAGGGUUGUUCUCCACAUUCCUCAAAACUGCAUCGUCUUUUCCGAGGGGAAAUUUGAGAGAGUUUAACGAUAAAACUUCUCCUGAAGAGACAGUUGGCAUUUGAUAUGUUGCUUUUGAUGAUAAGUUUGACGGCAAGUCCAAUGUUGUAAAGCUCUGGCUGUUGUGAUCUGAAGCCAUAAAUUUCAUCUGGGGCUUCCAAGUAUCCACUUCAAGGAUUUUAUCACUCUUUUCAUCAUCAGUGUGUCGAUUUCUCAUUGGAAUGUUACCAUGGCUAUUAUGAAAACUUUCUUCCAUCCAACGAUCUAACCAAUUUGAACCUAGUUUUGCUUCAUCUAGGUGAAAGAUGUCUCUCAGAUUUGUAUUUGAACAACAUCUAGUAUGACGUGACUGAGAAGGCUUGGUAGAUGAAUGCCGUAAUUCUGACACGUGAGUGCGGCUAGCACAGGCUCGAGCCUGCACUCUCACCAAAGUUUGCAUUCGCCUAAGCAUGUCUGCUGUUUGCUUUCUCACAAUGUGGCCUCUCACUAAUGCUUGAAGCUUUACUAGUGCUUUCAAUGCUCUUAGUGCCCUUCUAGCCAGAUAACCACGAAACGCUGACUGUAUCUUGACCGCGGAGAGUUCCUCCUCUCGCCGAUGGUCACUCCCACUGGCUUGACCUGGUGCAGAACUUCUCCCACCACCGCCGCGGCCAACACUAGUUAAUCUCACGACCUCUGCUGCUGCUUGAGCCGCCGCGAGUGCUGCCUCGGCAACUGCCGCAGUGGCCGCUGCAACAGCUAUGGCGUGCUUGUUUGCAUCCAAAUUAUCAUCAUACGGACCCGAUACAGAUUCAUACUUAUUGAACUGAGACGGAAUCGUAUUGGAAGAUCUAGCGAAGCUCCACCUUCUCUUCUCCUUGGCGGGCGGCGAAGGCCCAGCCCUUUUAGAGCCAAAAAGUCGCUGGAAAAAUCCCAUGUCUCAUAGUUUAAAUGAUUUGGCAAGUGAACGACAUUAGUGGAGAGAGAGUGAGCUGAAGGACGAGAAUAGAGAACCCCGGGACCGAGAAG
rnacentral:misc_RNA from 1 species